rnacentral:rRNA from 1 species
GAAUAUUGCACAAUGGGCGAAAGCCUGAUGCAGCGACGCCGCGUGAGGGAUGACGGCCUUCGGGUUGUAAACCCCUUUCAGCAGGGACGAUUAUGACGGUACCUGCAGAAGAAGGACCGGCCAACUACGUGCCAGCAGCCGCGGUAAUACGUAGGGUCCAAGCGUUGUCCGGAUUUAUUGGGCGUAAAGAGCUCGUAGGCGGCUCAGUAAGUCGGAUGUGAAAACUCGGGGCUCAACCCCGAGACGCCAUCCGAUACUGCUGUGGCUUGAGUCUGGUAGGGGAACACGGAAUUCCUGGUGUAGCGGUGAAAUGCGCAGAUAUCAGGAGGAACACCGAUGGCGAAGGCAGUGUUCUGGGCCAGUACUGACGCUGAGGAGCGAAAGCGUGGGUAGCAAACAG